ACCGAACAGGGCGUACUUUAGCAUCGUCUAUGCUACAUUCGGCAUGCUGAUAGGAGGUUCGGCUUUUAUAGUUUGGACUGUAGUUUACAGACAGCCGUGGACGGCGGCUAUGGGCGGAUUAUCAGGAUUCUGUGAGAGUGUAGUGGCUGGACCUCUGACCUCUGACCCUCUGUGGGCUACUGAUGCUCUCGGGCGCGGACACUCAACUGACACUGUUCAUGUGAAGCAUUUUAUUUUUUAUUUAUUAUUAGUUUUUGAUCGAUACCCUUGCAACAUACUACAUUAUGUAAUAUGAUAUAUGUAAAUACAGGGGAUCUUUACUAGUUGUUAAUAGACAGGAAGUGUUCUACCAGUUUACUAGCUAGCCUUUGCAUUCUUGGAAUAUUAACAGAUAGCGAUCCAUCAAGCUGAUAUCAUCAUCAUAUCGAUAAACAUUCAUGUAGUAAGACUCAAAAUUAACUGUGAGCCCCCAGAUAAUAAAUCAAUGGCUUAGUAACAGCGGAUUGUGACUUUGCUGUUGUGACUUGAAGCCAAUGACUCCAUUGUCGUUUCAAGGCGAUGAAAUACUCAUUUUAGUGAAAGAUUUAGUUAUAAGUCAUAUUCUUAUCUUGUAAAUAAGAUUUGUCGAUUGUGUUUCAUUAUUUUCCUUUCUGCCUGAUGUACAAGGUUCCCUACACCUCAGCAACAUCUGUACUUUUAAUCAGAUAAGUUGUACUUAAACUAUAAUUAAUUGCUUUAAUAUACUGCACAUAUGGAAAUUUUGCCUUCUUCGUAAUCUUCAGUGGUGGCUCUUUUUAGGUAAUUGUUGGCUUAAAGUGUUGAAUGGAUAGAUCACUAUCUAUUAACAUUCCAAGAAUGCAAAGGCUAGCUAGUUAACUGGUAGAACACUUCCUGUCUAUUAACAACUGGUAAAUAUAUCCUGUAUUAACAUGUAUUAUAUUACAUUGUGUGUUGCAAGGGUAUAAAAUAUUCAAAAUAAAUGACUCACAUGAAGAGUGUCCGUGGAUGAAGCCAUGGUUGCAUCCGAAAUCGCGUACUACAGCCCCAAUUCCAAAGACGCUGUGUAAAAUCGUCCCAACUUUUCUGGGGUUAUAUGACAGUACCUACUGCAUUCGAUUCAGUACCUUCUGCUUGGCCAUUGAUACAGUUGGUACUAAUCAGUGCUCUUCUGUGCCAGUCCCGUUGCCUUAUGGGAUAGCGCAUUAUCCACAGUGUCCACUGGUUCUUUACUGUAGAAUCUUGGCCGAAGCAGUAAGUCAUCCGGGUAUUUCUUGCCUGCUGUUUUAUGAAUACUGAAAAUUCAGACAUACUACUCCUUUGACAUUGUGCUUUUUUCCUACUGUGUAGUAGGGCUAUUCGGAUGCAGCAUAUGUCUCUCAUGAAGAACAGGAAACUUCACUAAUGGUUCAUCACAGUGUCAGACAGCCAAUCAGAACUGAUUUCUGGAAAAACGAGUUAGCCAAUGAUAUUUGUGGUUAUAGUCAACUUAGUUGGGCCCACCCACUGCUGACAGAAAGAAAAAGGCUGUUUCUCAGUAUGCGUUCUUAUGCAAUCUUGUGUCCUUGUGAACUUGUUCUACGUCAUCAUCCACCCCUGAAAUUCAAUUCCGAUACUCAAGAGCAUAGUACAGGGAACGCAUGGAAUUACCUGGAUGUGUUCUUGAUAACGACGAUACAUCGGAUGCAGACCUGAGUGCACCGAACCCUCUUGAAGUCCUCCUGUCCUUCCGAGUUUGUUCACAGAAUUGAGAAUCAGCCAAUGUAUUCGCGUGAGCAGAAGCAAUAGUUGAGAAAAGACGCAGCUCAUGGGUGUGAGGAAUGAUUUUGCUUAUGCAUAUAGAUUUUUCGCAGCACAGUAUCACGUGUGUGAUGGUUUAAAACGAGCAUGCAAAUUCUCCCCUUUCCACGCGUGUACAUGUAUUUUUCUUUUGCGGUUGUAAUUUACAGUGUGUGCGUAAGUGUCAACAACGCGCUCGGAUUUGCCGCCACAAUGCAGCAGGUGGAUCCAGUGGGUGUGAGCAUGCGUGCGAACAGCAGCGGGGAGGGGAGGGGAGCGGAGUAGGGUGGAGUGGUCUGACUGACUGGGAUGUCAGAGAUAGGACGAGCGAUGCUGUUCCGACGCAACGGUGCAUAAUGAAGAUGUUUUAUGUUAUGACAAGUGUAAAAAUAUUUUUGGUUCAUUAUGAAACUGGCAGGACAAAUUAGACUGUGGUGGGCCGGCACACUCUAGGUAAUUAAUGGGAAACACUGCUAUGUGCACUAACUAUCAUUAAAUAUAGAUACAACUGGCUACAGCUGUACCUUCCAUGGUCAUAGUUAUACAUCUGGCCUCAUCCCUAGAGAAAUUUCCUUUUUUUCAUUUGCCUUAUUUAUUAGUAUGCUUAGGAUAUACGGUAUUCAAGUAAUUAUGUGACUUCUGAAAGCAUCUGGUUGUGAUUAGGGGUUUCACAGCAACACUUAGAGGGUUUUUUUUCUUCUCUAAUUAAUUUUUUCUAAUGUUUUCAUUUCUGUUCAAAGUUGUAGUACUACAACAUGUGGGAAAAGUUCAAGGGUGUGAAUGCUAGUAGUCCUUUAUACUUAAACAUACCCUUUGCAGACGUAAUAGUUUAGUGUUUGCUCCAGAUGAGAUAAAAAGUUGUGUGUGUGUUUUCAGGAGUGCUGGCCCUUUGGGUGCUGGUCACACACAUCAUGUACCUUCAGGAUUACUGGCGCACAUGGCUGAAGGGACUCAAGCUCUUCAUGAUUAUCAGUUCACUUUUCUCCAUGUUAGCUGUUGCUGCUUUUGCAACG